AGCGAACGCUGGCGGCAGGCUUAACACAUGCAAGUCGAGCGGGCAUCUUCGGAUGUCAGCGGCAGACGGGUGAGUAACACGUGGGAACGUACCCUUCGGUUCGGAACAACUCUGGGAAACUGGAGCUAAUACCGGAUACGCCCUUAUGGGGAAAGGUUUACUGCCGAAGGAUCGGCCCGCGUCUGAUUAGCUAGUUGGUGGGGUAACGGCCUACCAAGGCGACGAUCAGUAGCUGGUCUGAGAGGAUGAUCAGCCACACUGGGACUGAGACACGGCCCAGACUCCUACGGGAGGCAGCAGUGGGGAAUAGUGGACAAUGGGCGCAAGCCUGAUCCAGCCAUGCCGCGUGAGUGAUGAAGGCCUUAGGGUUGUAAAGCUCUUUUGUCCGGGACGAUAAUGACGGUACCGGAAGAAUAAGCCCCGGCUAACUUCGUG
rnacentral:rRNA from 1 species